rnacentral:rRNA from 1 species
GUGGGGAAUAUUGGACAAUGGGCGAAAGCCUGAUCCAGCCAUGCCGCGUGUGUGAAGAAGGUCUUCGGAUUGUAAAGCACUUUAAGUUGGAAGGAAGGGCAGUAAGUUAAUACCUUGCUGUUUUGACGUUACCGACAGAAUAAGCACCGGCUAACUUCGUGCCAGCAGCCGCGGUAAUACGAAGGGUGCAAGCGUUAAUCGGAAUUACUGGGCGUAAAGCGCGCGUAGGUGGUUUUGUAAGUUGGAGGUGAAAUCCCCGGGCUCAACCUGGGAACUGCCUCCAAAACUGCAUGACUAGAGUACGGUAGAGGGUAGUGGAAUUUCCUGUGUAGCGGUGAAAUGCGUAGAUAUAGGAAGGAACACCAGUGGCGAAGGCGACUACCUGGACUGAUACUGACACUGAGGUGCGAAAGCGUGGGGAGCAAACAGGAUUAGAAACCCCUGUAGUCC